rnacentral:rRNA from 1 species
CGGAGAGUUUGAUCCUGGCUCAGGAUGAACGCUGGCGGCGUGCUUAACACAUGCAAGUCGAACGGUGAACAUGGAGCUUGCUCUGUGGGAUCAGUGGCGAACGGGUGAGUAACACGUGAGCAACCUGCCCCUGACUCUGGGAUAAGCGCUGGAAACGGCGUCUAAUACUGGAUAUGUGACGUGACCGCAUGGUCUGCGUCUGGAAAGAAUUUCGGUUGGGGAUGGGCUCGCGGCCUAUCAGCUUGUUGGUGAGGUAAUGGCUCACCAAGGCGUCGACGGGUAGCCGGCCUGAGAGGGUGACCGGCCACACUGGGACUGAGACACGGCCCAGACUCCUACGGGAGGCAGCAGUGGGGAAUAUUGCACAAUGGGCGCAAGCCUGAUGCAGCAACGCCGCGUGAGGGAUGACGGCCUUCGGGUUGUAAACCUCUUUUAGCAGGGAAGAAGCGAAAGUGACGGUACCUGCAGAAAAAGCGCCGGCUAACUACGUGCCAGCAGCCGCGGUAAUACGUAGGGCGCAAGCGUUAUCCGGAAUUAUUGGGCGUAAAGAGCUCGUAGGCGGUUUGUCGCGUCUGCUGUGAAAUCCGGAGGCUCAACCUCCGGCCUGCAGUGGGUACGGGCAGACUAGAGUGCGGUAGGGGAGAUUGGAAUUCCUGGUGUAGCGGUGG